AUGAAUGCUGGCGGCGUGUCUAAGGCAUGCAAGUCGUAAGUGGUAGCAAUACCAACUUGGCAAACGGGAGAGUAACACAUUGGUAACUUACUUUAAGGACGAGGAUAAUCCUGCGAAAGCGGGAAUAAUACUGGAUAAAAAUGAGGGGGCAAAUGCCAUUCUCAUUUAAAGUCGCAAGACACCUUAAAAGAGGCCUAUGUUCUAUCAGCUAGUUGGUGAGGUAAUAGCUCACCAAGGCUUUGACAGAUAGCGGGUGUGAGAGCAUGACCCGUCUCACUGGGACUGAGACACUGCCCAGACUCCUACGGGAGGCUGCAGUCAAGAAUCUUCCCCAAUGGCCGAAAGGCUGAGGGAGCGACGCCGCGUGUAUGAAGACGCCCUUCGGGGUGUAAAGUACUUUUUUCUAGGAAGAAACAAUGACGGUACUAGAAGAAUAAGGGGCUGCUAACUCUGU
rnacentral:rRNA from 1 species